GUCAUCGAUCUUGACGCAGUUGCGCCCGAGCCACUAGGUUGAGGGCACGUCUGCCUGGGCGUCAC
rnacentral:rRNA from 1 species